rnacentral:rRNA from 1 species
GACGAACGCUGGCGGCGUGCCUAAUACAUGCAAGUUGAGCGCUGAAGGUUGGUACUUGUACCAACUGGAUGAGCAGCGAACGGGUGAGUAACGCGUGGGGAAUCUGCCUUUGAGCGGGGGACAACAUUUGGAAACGAAUGCUAAUACCGCAUAAAAACUUUAAACACAAGUUUUAAGUUUGAAAGAUGCAAUUGCAUCACUCAAAGAUGAUCCCGCGUUGUAUUAGCUGGUUGGUGAGGUAAAGGCUCACCAAGGCGAUGAUACAUAGCCGACCUGAGAGGGUGAUCGGCCACAUUGGGACUGGGACACGGCCCAAACUCCUACGGGAGGCAGCAGUAGGGAAUCUUCGGCAAUGGACGAAAGUCUGACCGAGCAACGCCGCGUGAGUGAAGAAGGUUUUCGGAUCGUAAAACUCUGUUGGUAGAGAAGAACGUUGGUGAGAGUGGAAAGCUCAUCAAGUGACGGUAACUACCCAGAAAGGGACGGCUAACUACGUG